ensembl:lncRNA
AACGUCCAAUCAACGUCCAAUUAUAACAUCAUUUGACUUUGAUCUUUAGUUUGUUUUUAGGUUGUGAUAUUAACUAACCUAAACCCAACGUCGAGCCAACGUCUCAGGCCAACGUCAGAUUGACAUCAAAUACUGAUGUUUAGUCGUCAGGUUGUGACAUUAACUAACCUAAACCCAACGUCGAGGCAACGUCUCAGGCCAACGUCACAUUGACAUCAAAUACUGAUGUUUAGUCGUCAGGUAUGGCAACCAAAAUCCAAUGUAUUCAAGACGUCAUAAUGGUAACGUCCAAUCAACGUCAAAUUAUAACGUCAUUUGACUUUGAUCUUUAGUUAGUUUUAGGUUGUGGCAUUAACUAACCAAAAUCCAACAUCAAGACAACGUCUCAAGCGAACGUCAGAUUGACAUCAAAUACUGAUACUUAGUCGUCAGGUAUGGCAACCAAAAUCCAAUGUCUUCAAGACGCCAUAC